rnacentral:rRNA from 1 species
CCAAUAGCGUAUAUUAAAGUUGUUGCAGUUAAAAAGCUCGUAGUUGAACUUCGGGAUCAAUGGAUUGGUCAUGCCGAUGGUGUGUACUGGUCAUAUUGGUUCUCACCUUCUAAGGAACCAUAAUGUCAUUUAUUUGAUGUUGUGGGGAAUUAGGACUGUUACCUUGAAAAAAUUAGAGUGUUUAAAGCAGGCUAACGCUUGAAUACAUUAGCAUGGAAUAAUGAAAUAGGACAUCGCAUUCUAUUUUGUUGGUUUCUAGGAUCGAUGUAAUGAUUAAUAGGGAUAGUUGGGGGCAUUAGUAUUCAAUUGUCAGAGGUGAAAUUCUUGGAUUUAUUGAAGACUAACUACUGCGAAAGCAUUUGCCAAGGAUGUUUUCAUUAAUCAAGAACGAAAGUUAGGGGAUCGAAGACGAUCAGAUACCGUCGUAGUCUUAACCAUAAACUAUGCCGACUAGGGAUCGGAUGAUGUUGAUUUUUUAAUGACUCAUUCGGCACCUUACA